UGGCCCUUCAGCCCAGUGAGAUGGAUGGCCCUUCAGCAGGCCGGUGUUUGGGUGCAAUGCUGCUAAUAAGCUUCAUUCAGCCCUUCUCAAUCUUCACAGGAGCCCCGGACCCCAGCAACUGACCAACCCCGUGAGGAAUUCGUUAACAUCGUUAACAUCACCUGGUUGGUUGAGAAGUCGGAGCACUUCCCGUCAUUCUCCCUGCAUUCUUCUGCUGCCAGAGCCUGAAUCCUGACUCUUCCCAGCCCACACUAUCGUCACUGCUUCCCGCAGGGAUCUGGGGCAGUUGCCUUGGUAACCAUGUGUCCUCCAGGCCUCCCCCUUCCAGCUGGUCUAUGUCCGAGUAUAAACUCAGGCAUGUGAGAGCCCCGGGUCAGGGCAACCCUGCUUCACUGAGUCACGCUGGGCAGUCUCCUGACGUCUCUGAACUGCGGCUUCCUCCCCGGCGAGGAGCUGACCGUGGAGAUGGUGUGUAAAGAUGAGUGUGGAGAUAAAGCCAGCUUUGCCAAUAAUGAUGUGUUUAG
rnacentral:lncRNA from 1 species